rnacentral:snRNA from 1 species
CAGCAGGAGAUGAUGAGAGUCAGAACAAGGGAAAAUACAGAAAAGAUUAGCAUGGCCCAUGAGCAAGGAUAACGAAUUCAUGAACCAUCCAAUGUUUUU